CACCUUUCCUGUUCUUCAUACCCCAUAUUCUCUCUUCAUGCUCCGUUCUCCCUUUCUUCUGCCCGCUCCCUUCCUCUUCCCUUCCUUCCUUGGCUUUAGGACCUGACAUCAUAAUGCAGAGAAGGGUAAACAGACUGCAGUAAUGCUGCCGAAAAAAUGGUCCUCAGAGAGGAGUUCAGAGUGUUUUCACCAACAUUAUGUCUACAUGAUAAUUGAUGAUGUCAGCUUUUCCAUUUCAAUCGGUUGUCCAGACUUGUUUCCACCAUUUCUCCUGGAAGAUUUUCCUGACUCUGGGCUUGUCUCGACCUUCUGAUUAAUGCAUACACAACUGAAAGAGCUAAUGUCUAUUGAAGUGCCUAAAUAUGGAGUUAGGAGCGUAACUUUAAGCACCCAGGUUUGAAAAAUAUUGGCCUAAAGGCUAAAGCAUUUGU